rnacentral:rRNA from 1 species
ACGAACGCUGGCGGCGUGCUUAACACAUGCAAGUCGAACGGAAAGGCCCUUCGGGGUACUCGAGUGGCGAACGGGUGAGUAACACGUGGGUGAUCUGCCCUGCACUUUGGGAUAAGCCUGGGAAAAUGGGUCUAAUACCGAAUAGGACCACGCGCUUCAUGGUGUGUGGUGGAAAGCUUUUGCGGUGUGGGAUGGGCCCGCGGCCUAUCAGCUUGUUGGUGGGGUAAUGGCCUACCAAGGCGACGACGGGUAGCCGGCCUGAGAGGGUGACCGGCCACACUGGGACUGAGAUACGGCCCAGACUCCUACGGGAGGCAGCAGUGGGGAAUAUUGCACAAUGGGCGCAAGCCUGAUGCAGCGACGCCGCGUGAGGGAUGACGGCCUUCGGGUUGUAAACCUCUUUCAAUAGGGACGAAGCGCAAGUGACGGUACCUAUAGAAGAAGCACCGGCCAACUACGUG